ensembl:snoRNA SNORA71 Small nucleolar RNA SNORA71
UCCUGCCUGGGAAAAUGGCAGGCUGCUAACAUGGGCUGCCUGGGUCCUGGUCACUGAUAGUGCAGGGAAGGGAUUUCCUGAAAGUGUUGCCCUGUGUUUGGAGGGCCCUUUCCUGUCCCUUCCAAACCUGGAGAGUUCUCACA